ensembl:misc_RNA Metazoa_SRP Metazoan signal recognition particle RNA
GCCGGGUGUGGUGGCUCACACCUGUAAUCCCAGCACUUUGGGAGGCCGAGGCGGGUGGAUCACCUGAGGUCAGGAGUUCAAGACUAGCCUGACCAACAUGGAGAAACCCCAUCUCUA